rnacentral:rRNA from 1 species
CGUUGUUCGGAAUUACUGGGCGUAAAGCGCACGUAGGCGGUUCAUUUAGUCAGGGGUGAAAUCCCGGGGCUCAACCUCGGAACUGCCUUUGAUACUGAUGGUCUCGAGUCCGAUAGAGGUGAGUGGAAUUCCUAGUGUAGAGGUGAAAUUCGUAGAUAUUAGGAAGAACACCAGUGGCGAAGGCGGCUCACUGGAUCGGUACUGACGCUGAGGUGCGAAAGCGUGGGGAGCAAACAGG